rnacentral:rRNA from 1 species
CCUACGGGUGACAGCAGUGGGGAAUAUUGCACAAUGGGCGAAAGCCUGAUGCAGCAACGCCGCGUGAUGGAAGAAGGCCUUCGGGUCGUAAACUUCUGUCCUUGGGGAAGAAGAACGAACGUUACCCAAGGAGAAAGCCCCGGCUAACUACGUGCCAGCAGCCGCGGUAAUACGUAGGUGGCAAGCGUUGUCCGGAUUUACUGGGUGUAAGGGGCGUGUAGCCGGGUUGAAAAGUCAGAUGUGAAAUCCUGCGGCUUAACCGCAGAACUGCCUUUGAAACUGUUGAUCUUGAGUACUGGAGAGGCAGAUGGAAGUCCUAGUGUAGCGGUGAAAUGCGUAGAGAUUAGGAGGAACACCAGUGGCGAAGGCGGCCUGCUGGACAGCAACUGACGGUGAGGCGCGAAAGCGUGGGGAGCAAACAGGAUUAGAUACCCGUGUAGUC